rnacentral:sRNA from 1 species
UCUUCAGUUAGGGCGAGAGCCCAUGCCA